UACGAAGGGGGCGAGCGUUGUUCGGAUUUACUGGGCGUAAAGGGCGCGUAGGCGGCCAUGCGUGUCUUCCGUGAAAUCCCUCGGCUUAACUGAGGACGUGCGGAAGAAACUGCAAGGCUCGAGUCCGGGAGAGGGGGGUGGAAUUCCCAGUGUAGCGGUGAAAUGCGUAGAUAUUGGGAGGAACACCGGUGGCGAAGGCGGCCCCCUGGACCGGUACUGACGCUGAGGCGCGAAAGCGUGGGUAGCAAACGGG
rnacentral:rRNA from 1 species